AGAGUUUGAUCCUGGCUCAGAACGAACGCUGGCGGCAGGCCUAACACAUGCAAGUCGAACGCCCCGCAAGGGGAGUGGCAGACGGGUGAGUAACACGUGGGAACCUACCUAUUGGUACGGAAUAACUCGGGGAAACCCGUGCUAAUACCGUAUACGCCCGAGAGGGGAAAGAUUUAUCGCCGAUAGAUGGGCCCGCGUCGGAUUAGCUAGUUGGUGGGGUAAUGGCUCACCAAGGCGACGAUCCGUAGCUGGUCUGAGAGGAUGAUCAGCCACACUGGGACUGAGACACGGCCCAGACUCCUACGGGAGGCAGCAGUGGGGAAUAUUGGACAAUGGGGGCAACCCUGAUCCAGCCAUGCCGCGUGAGUGACGAAGGCCUUAGGGUUGUAAAGCUCUUUUGGCGGG
rnacentral:rRNA from 1 species